CCCUGGCUCAGGACGAACGCUGGCGGCGUGCUUAACACAUGCAAGUCGAACGGUGAUGGCCAGCUUGCUGGUCUGAUCAGUGGCGAACGGGUGAGUAACACGUGAGCAACCUACCCCAGACUCUGGAAUAACCAUGGGAAACGAUGGCUAAUACCGGAUACGAGACGCACACGCAUGUGUGGUGUCUGGAAAGAUUUAUCGGUCUGGGAUGGGCUCGCGGCCUAUCAGCUUGUUGGUGGGGUAGUGGCCUACCAAGGCGACGACGGGUAGCCGGCCUGAGAGGGCGACCGGCCACACUGGGACUGAGAUACGGCCCAGACUCCUACGGGAGGCAGCAGUGGGGAAUAUUGCACAAUGGGCGCAAGCCUGAUGCAGCGACGCCGCGUGAGGGAUGACGGCCUUCGGGUUGUAAACCUCUUUCAGCAGGGAAGAAGCGAAAGUGACGGUACCUGCAGAAGAAGCGCCGGCUAACUA
rnacentral:rRNA from 1 species